rfam:Pantoea vagans C9-1 plasmid pPag2, complete sequence.
AACCCCCCGAAAUCUGGUAUCAACUUGGCGGAAGAGUCAGAAAUCAGGGGGUCCAAAAGCAGGCGCAGCGCCUGUGAAGGAUUAUAACGCAUGCUAUUCAUAAGACAACCCCUGUCCGCCAUAAGU